AUGGAGCUGAUGAGUCCUAAAUAGGACGAAAUGCACGUCCUGAAU
rfam:Schistosoma haematobium scaffold256_1, whole genome shotgun sequence.